GAUGAACGCUGGCGGCGUGCCUAAUACAUGCAAGUCGAGCGAACAGACGAGGAGCUUGCUCCUCUGACGUUAGCGGCGGAAGGGUGAGUAACACGUGGAUAACCUACCUAUAAGACUGGGAUAACUUCGGGAAACCGGAGCUAAUACCGGAUAAUAUAUUGAACCGCAUGGUUCAAUAGUGAAAGACGGUUUUGCUGUAACUUAUAGAUGGAUCCUCGCCGCAUUAGCUAGUUGGUAAGGUAACGGCUUACCAAGGCAACGAUGCGUAGCCGACCUGAGAGGGUGAUCGGCCACACUGGAACUGAGACACGGCCCAGACUCCUACGGGAGGCAGCAGUAGGGAAUCUUCCGCAAUGGGCGAAAGCUUGACGGAGCAACGCCGCGUGAGUGAUGAAGGUCUUCGGAUCGUAAAACUCUGUUAUUAGGGAAGAACAAAUGUGUAAGUAACUAUGCACGUCUUGACGGUACCUAAUCAGAAAGCCACGGCUAACUACGUG
rnacentral:rRNA from 1 species